UACGAAGGGUGCAAACGUUGCUCGGAAUCAUUGGGCGUAAAGCGCACGUAGGCGGCUUUGCAAGUCUGAUGUGAAAUCCCUCGGCUCAACCGAGGACGUGCAUCGGAAACUGCGGGGCUUGAGUACUGAAGAGGAUCGCGGAAUUCCCGGUGUAGAGGUGAAAUUCGUAGAUAUCGGGAGGAACACCAGUGGCGAAGGCGGCGAUCUGGGCAGAUACUGACGCUGAGGUGCGAAAGCGUGGGGAGCAAACAGG
rnacentral:rRNA from 1 species